rnacentral:misc_RNA from 1 species
AAAAGCUAUCGCCUGCUCUUUUUACCUGUCGCGUCGCCGGAGGUGCUAUCGUAGCUGCGCACAUACAGCUGCUUUUCAUCACCAUUGCUCAUCACAAUAAGCCAAAAGGACUCCUGCGCAGAAUUCCUGCACGCCCGUAUUUCUCUGUUCUCAGCCGUCUUUUGCUACCAUGUCGUUUAUGCAGACAGGCCCGCAGAGCAUGCUGAAGGAUGGCUCGACGUUCUUAGACGAUCCGGUGCUGAAGAAUAUCGAAGCAUGCCGCGAGCUGUCGAAAAUCACGCGCAGCUCCAUGGGCCCGAACGGGCUGUGCAAGAUGGUCAUCAACCAUCUCAACAAGCUGUUUGUCACGCACGACGCCGCCACCAUUUUGCGCGAGCUGGAGGUGGAGCACCCCGCGGCGAAGCUGCUGGUGCAGGCUGCCAACGCCAUGCAAGAGGAGGUUGGUGAUGGCACCAACUUUGUGGUGACACUCUGUGGCGAGCUUCUUUCGCAGGCGGAGUCGCUGGUGCGGAUGGGAUUGCACCCGAGCGAGAUUGUCGAAGGCUAUAAGAAGGCGGGCAACAAGAGCUUGGAGCUGCUGGACACGAUGGUGUGCAAGACCGCCGAUGACUGCCUCCGCAAGGAGCAGGUGGUGGAUGCGAUUCGUACCUCGAUUGCGUCAAAGCAGUACGGAUAUGAGGACUUCCUCGCGGAUCUUGUAGCGGAGGCCUGCAUCAACGUGUCCCCAUCGAACGUUCGCUCUUUCAACGUCGACAACGUGCGCGUGGUGAAGCUCGACGGCGAGUCGAUUCUCUCCACGAAGCUCGUCCGUGGCUUCGUGAUCGGCCGCAACACAGAGAGCAAUCUGAAGCACCUCAAGAACGCCAAGGUGGCCGUGUACAGCUGCGCUGUGGACGUGCCGUCUUUGGAGACAAAAGGGACAGCGCUGAUUGAGAACGCCGACGAUCUCAUCCAGUACUCACGCAAGGAGGAGGAGAUUAUGCUGGAGAUCAUCUCGAACAUUCACAAUUCUGGCGCCAACGUUAUCGUUUCCAACUCCAGUUUUGGCGAUCUGGCGCUGCACUUCAUCAAUCGCCUCGGCAUGAUGGCGGUGCGCGUCCCAUCUAAGUUCGAUCUUCGUCGUCUUUGUGCGGCCGUCGGCGCUCGCGUGUUGACCCGCCUAGACGCACCGUCUAUGGAGGACAUGGGCGCGUGUGACUCAGUGGACGUGCUUGACAUUGGUGGCAAGAACGUGACGGCGUUUGCCCAGGACAAGGACGACUCGAAGCUGUCCACGAUUGUGGUGCGCGGCGCCACGCAGAACGUCUUGGAUGACGUAGAGCGCGCCAUCGACGACGGCGUGAACGUGUUCAAGGCUUUGACGAAGGACAAGCGACUUGUGGCGGGUGCUGGCGCGGUAGAAAUGGAACUGCAGAAAGAGCUUACCCUCUAUGCCGAAGCGAACCCUGGUCUCGACCAGUACGCUGUGCGCAAGUAUGCGUCCAGCUUCGAGGUGGUGGCUCGCACGCUUGCCGAGGUUAGUGGUUUCAACGGUACCGAUAUGGUGACGCAGUUAGAGGCCGACCACAACGCUGGAAAGAAGCACCAGGGUGUGAAUCUGAGCGAUGGCACCACGUUGGAUGCCGUGGAGGCUGGCAUUGUGGAGCCCCACAUGGUCAAGCUCUGGGCAAUUAGGCUAGCCACCGACACUGUAAUCACGGUGCUUUCAGUGAACCAGAUCAUCGUGGCGAAGCAGGCCGGCGGCCCCAAGAACCGUCCCGACCAAGCACGCGACGCAGACUGAGGAGGCGGAGCGAGAAUAGAUCGUGCCAUGAGAACCCCUAAUGCUGCCUGUAAAAACGAGCAAACAAGUGAUACCGCUCGCGUUCACACCAUCUUAUCCUCUGCGUGCUUCCCACUGCGCGAGACGCUGCUCUGUAGCGUUUCUUCGUGGCCAUACAUCCAAGUUGGCAGGUGUGGGUGUAGGCGGUAAGAGCGUGAUUGUGGGUGGCGGUCAAUUAUUUGCCUCUGGGUCUCUGUUCUCCGUUUUCACUGGUCCUUGCUGUUACUUGCAGAAUAGAGAGCCCACCUUUGUUUUUCCUCCCCCUCUUUCGCGCGUUUGAUGCCUUGUGAAAAAAAAAGAGAGAAAACCAGUGUUCGUAUCUGCCUGAAGGAGAAGCGGUAGAAGUCGUUGAAAAACGAGCAAGGAGGCCGCGGCGCCCCCGUGCGUGUGCGUUAUUUUUCAGGGUGGAGUUAUGGUCUCUGUGUUGCCUUGGCUCUCAUUCUCGUCGUUGCGGUGUCGCUCUUUUUCGACCUUCGACGGUGUGAGGGACACAUUUCGAUUUGGUCUGUGAUGUGUGUCUGCCUCGCUGUGCCGGCCCGCGUUCCUUUCAUUAAGUAAAAAAGGCGAAAUAAGGCAAGAACAAAAAAAAACGAACACGAUAGCACGCGGCAAAAACUGCAAAAUAACUGUCAACAGGAAGUCUUCACUGAUGCGCCCUAUAGGCGCGCAACAGAAGGGAAAGGGCAGAAAGCAGCAAAGCAAUAGGGUAUUGGAGCACCAGCGUUAUGUUCUAGAGGGAGGGCUGUUGGCUGGCCACAGCGGAAAGGGAGCAAGGGCGCCGAGCGAGUGUCGGCGUAUCUUUCGUUUAGCCUUGUGCGCUGCCCUUCUCAAGCAUCUUUGUUGCUGUUUCUCUCUUUUACUCCAGUUCUGGGGCCAGGUGCCCAUCCACG